UCAUUCGGUUUGGACCAGAAGGAGGUUUUCCUCCUCCAUUUCCACCUUUGCCCUUUUCUGCUGGGCCCUUUUUGCCUUUUUUACAAGUUUGCCUUUGCCUUGCUUUUGGUUUUUUCCUUCGAUAUCUUCAAAAUCUGUGUCAGAAGAAAAAUGUGUUUCUGACUCUGUAGUAGAUUAAAAUCAGUUGGUAUUUCUGGAGCUGCUAUCAUUUCUUUAUCAUCUUCUGGAACACCUCAAUGUCAGAAAUAUAUUCAUAUAUUUACGUGGGUAAAAUGGUGGCUUGCCUUCUUUCUUCUAAGACAAUUCUCCCCCCUCAGCGUACACAGAGGCAGCAACGAGACUGUUCGCCUCCCCCACUCCUCCUUCUUUCUCAGGCCGGGGG
rnacentral:lncRNA from 1 species